rnacentral:rRNA from 1 species
GUUAUAUGGUCAAGUGAAGAAGCGCAUACGGUGGAUGCCUUGGCAGUCAGAGGCGAUGAAAGACGUGGUAGCCUGCGAAAAGCUUCGGGGAGUCGGCAAACAGACUUUGAUCCGGAGAUGUCUGAAUGGGGGAACCCAGCCAUCAUAAGAUGGUUAUCUUAAGCUGAAUACAUAGGCUUAAGAGGCGAACCAGGGGAACUGAAACAUCUAAGUACCCUGAGGAAAAGAAAUCAACCGAGAUUCCCUUAGUAGUGGCGAGCGAA